ACACUCCUGCGGGAGGCAGCAGUGGGGAAUUUUGGACAAUGGGCGAAAGCCUGAUCCAGCAAUGCCGCGUGAGUGAAGAAGGCCUUCGGGUUGUAAAGCUCUUUUGUCAGGGAAGAAACGGUGAAAGCUAAUAUCUUUUGCUAAUGACGGUACCUGAAGAAUAAGCACCGGCUAACUACGUGCCAGCAGCCGCGGUAAUACGUAGGGUGCAAGCGUUAAUCGGAAUUACUGGGCGUAAAGCGUGCGCAGGCGGUUUUGUAAGUCUGAUGUUAAAUCCCCGGGCUCAACCUGGGAAUUGCAUUGGAGACUGCAAGGCUAGAAUCUGGCAGAGGGGGGUAGAAUUCCACGUGUAGCAGUGAAAUGCGUAGAUAUGUGGAGGAACACCGAUGGCGAAGGCAGCCCCCUGGGUCAAGAUUGACGCUCAUGCACGAAAGCGUGGGGAGCAAACAGGAUUAGAAACCCGAGUAGUCCCAUGA
rnacentral:rRNA from 1 species